UCGAGCGGASCGACGGGAGCUUGCUCCCUUAGGUCAGCGGCGGACGGGUGAGUAACACGUGGGUAACCUGSCUGUAAGACUGGGAUAACUCCGGGAAACCGGGGCUAAUACCGGAUGCUUGAUUGAACCGCAUGGUUCAWUCAUAAAAGGUGGCUUUUAWCUACCACUUACAGAUGGACCCGCGGCGCAUUAACUAGUUGGUGAGGUAACGGCUCACCAAGGCGACCAUGCGUAACCCACCUGAAAGGGUGAUCGGCACGACUGGGACUGAMACACGGCCCAWACUCCUACGGGAGGCAGAGUAGGGAAUCUUCCGCAAUGGACGAAAGUCUGACGGAACAAC
rnacentral:rRNA from 2 species